AUGAGCAGCGGCAACAAUGGCACCGCCGGCCGCGGCUCGACCACGACACCGCCGAGGCCGCACUGGAGGAGAAGGGACCCUACGGCCACCGUCGUCUACGUCGUGCCACCUUCCCAGUUCCGCAGCGUCGUGCAGCAACUCACCGGCGCCGCGUCGUCCAACACGGCAUCAUCCGCCGCUCAACGUUACAUUGUUGCGCCCUGCGUCGUCCACGCCAGCGCGGGCCAUGCGGCGGCGGGGCGUCGUGCUGAAGUUGGUACUGGCAGUAACCCCACGACUACAACGACGAUGAGGCAGAUGUUGGAGGAGUGCAUGGCCUGGGCUUCCGACGACCAUGACGAGAACUAG
rnacentral:rRNA from 1 species